rnacentral:hammerhead_ribozyme from 1 species
GCACUGCUGAGGAGUCCCAUAAUAGAACGAAACGGCCGACCAGUGU